ACACUUGGGUUCAUCUUCAUGAGGUGUAAUGGCGCCGGGAUGCGCUCUCCUCUUCUCAUUUGCCAAUUUAUUGCAGAUCCCUCCUCAAAAAAGUUUUGGGACUAACUCAGCCCCAUGGAGAUCAAGGUGGGUGGGUGACUUCUAGAAGAGGAAAAUCAAGAAGAUUUGGAGAAGGAGUCUUGGAAGCUCUGGUGAAGUUUUCCAAAACUGGGAAGGACAGAGCCACAGGUCUGCCUGUUCUUUUGCUUUGCCAUUUGUGUGGAUACCUAGUAGAGCAAUUUGGGUGCCAUUCUUUGAGGAAUCCAUUGGAUCUGUCAGAAAGCUGAGGUAGAGACAGUUGGUGUUAGGGUUAAGUACCAGGACUGGAGAUAUGUUCCUGAGUGUCUCUGUCUGAAUCCAUCUGUUUACAACAUAUGAGGCCAAUUUUCUAAGAAGACUGAGCUGCCCUGCCAAGACUGUUUACCAGAGGUGGCUUUUAGGUGAUAUUUGUGCAGCCAUUGAUGCUAACUCAUAGUCUGCAAAUCCUAGCUCCACAUUUUCUUUUUCCUGUGAGAUAUUGUUUUGAGGAUAUGGAGCUCUGUGGCCUAAGAAAGCCCACAGAGUUAACUCUGCCCAUGGAGUUAGGCAGGGCAAAAAGAAAGCCCACCACUCCCCAGCAAAGUCAUAUUCUCCUCCACUUUCUCACACCUCACAUGGCUCUAUUCCCAAGGGAUCUUUCUGAGAUGCUUCUAGAGGGGAAGCUAUCGCUUCCUCCUUAGUAUUUUCUGAAAGCAAUGAAGUCUCAGCUAUUUUACUAAAUAUGCUUGCAACAGUUAGAGGCCAAAGCUUGGUUUCUUCUAGUUUCCCUAAUUUGUAAACCUCUAUGUUCUCAGUCUGCUCAGCCUGUGUUAGUGGAGAAGAGGGAAGGAAACUGGCUGGAGGCCGCUGGACCCACAGAGGACAAUAGACAAUCUCCUGCUGAUGCCCACUGGAUCCAAAGAGAGAAACUCUAUAGAAUUAUGAUCUAGGUUUGACUGACUCCUGGCAAGAAGCCCUACCCGCCAGCCAAUUUGGAUGAGCUCUUAUGCUCCAGAUCCAUCAUGAGAAGAACAUGCCCUGGAUUCCUGCUAUCCCUUUAGCCAUGGCUCCAAAAUUAACACACACAAGGAAGACCUGAGGUCAAUCCACAGCCUGGAUUCAAGUCACCUAAUACAUAGGAGAAUCAGAGCUACCCAGCCACACUCAAUCUACGUUAACUGAACCUCAGCUGACCUGCAGAUUUAUGAGUAUGAGAAUAAAGGCUUGUUAAUGUAUAUCAUUAA
ensembl:lncRNA LINC01980 long intergenic non-protein coding RNA 1980